rnacentral:rRNA from 1 species
UACGUAGGGUGCAAGCGUUAAUCGGAAUUACUGGGCGUAAAGCGUGCGCAGGCGGUUUUGUAAGUCUGACGUGAAAUCCCCGGGCUCAACCUGGGAAUUGCGUUGGAGACUGCAAGGCUAGAAUCUGGCAGAGGGGGGUAGAAUUCCACGUGUAGCAGUGAAAUGCGUAGAGAUGUGGAGGAACACCGAUGGCGAAGGCGGCCCCCUGGGUCAAGAUUGACGCUCAUGCACGAAAGCGUGGGGAGCAAACAGG